GUCAACUUGAGAGUUUGAUCCUGGCUCAGAACGAACGCUGGCGGCAGGCCUAACACAUGCAAGUCGAACGAACCGUGCCCUUCGGGGCACUAUGUUAGUGGCGCACGGGUGAGUAACACGUGGGAACGUACCCUUUAGUGCGGAAUAACCAAGGGAAACUUUGGCUAAUACCGCAUACGCCCUUCGGGGGAAAGAUUUAUCGCUAAAGGAUCGGCCCGCGCCUGAUUAGGUAGUUGGUGGGGUAAAAGCCUACCAAGCCGACGAUCAGUAGCUGGUCUGAGAGGACGAUCAGCCACACUGGGACUGAGACACGGCCCAGACUCCUACGGGAGGCAGCAGUGGGGAA
rnacentral:rRNA from 1 species